UCCCUGGUGGUCUGGGGGUUAGGACUCAGCGCUUUCACCACUGCAGCCCAGGUUCAAUUCCUGUUCUGGGAA
rnacentral:tRNA from 1 species